rnacentral:lncRNA from 1 species
CAAAGGCAAGACCAGUUCUAGCAACUCCUGACCUGGGUUUCACUAAAGAAGGUUGGGGUUUGUCCUACCUCUGGAAAUUGCUGUCUGGUUUGUCUCAGGAAAUCCCAGAAAGAGGACAGAACAAGGCAAGGCACAGAACAAGGUUCAGUGGUGGCUGAACCAGGACUCCUGUUAUGGUACCAGAAGAGAACUAAUAAGUCGUGUCAGAUAAGAAGAAGCAAGUGAGAAAUGAAUAUGAACUCCAGGCCCCCAACGACAUAAGGAAAUAAAAAAAAAAAAAAAUCAGCACUGGGUCAUUGAUAAGAGGAAAAAAUCAUAGCCAACUGUGAAAAUUCAUCCUUUACCUUACACGUCCCCCUCCAAAUAGACCCAUGCAUUUCAGCGAAUGGUAAAUAAUGCUUAAAAUGGCAGAAGCUAGAGUUGGGAAAAUAAGAACCAGGUGUUGGAAAGAAGGAAAAUCAAAAAGACCAUACAUUUUCCGUCAACAGUCCCCACCAUAAAUCGUAGCAAUGCCACCAUCACGACCUGGAGCCCGCAGGGAAGAGACUGUUGUAAAAAUGAUAAAUCAGAAUUACUACACACCAGGUCUUGAUAAAACAAAGAAAGUUGAUUCCGGGGUCUGAUAUAUAUCUAUAAUCACAGAGAAACAAAGCUUGAUCAGUGAAGGGCCAAAUGUGAGGAAACGUGAAGUUCAAAAUCUGAUGGCUGCUUAAUAUUCCAACCAAGCAGAACAUUGGAUAAUACAGUGGAAAUUGAUGACUCAGUGGCAUCGGCUGCAGCAA